GGGUUGUGAGGUUAAGUGACUAAGCGUACACGGUGGAUGCCUAGGCAGUCAGAGGCGAUGAAGGGCGUGCUAAUCUGCGAAAAGCGUCGGUAAGGUGAUAUGAACCGUUAUAACCGGCGAUACCCGAAUGGGGAAACCCAGUGUGUUUCGACACACUAUCAUGUCAUGAAUACAUAGUGGCAUGAGGCGAACCGGGGGAACUGAAACAUCUAAGU
rnacentral:rRNA from 1 species